AAAUCAAUACGUGAGUCUCACAUCCAUGAUAACUCUAUAACAUUAUUUUAUUAGGAUCAUAAUAGUAUUGGAGGGAUAUACAGGUUUGGAAUGGGCGAUAACUAAUUUACAUAAGAAAAGAAGAACAGUUGCAUUAUGGAGAUAAGAGAAGAAGGUUCUAGAUUAAAUCAUUUUAUUUAAUUUAUAUCAUAACAUUCUAUAUUCGUAGUCGAUAUUAAAGAGGGAAAAGCUCUUUUGACUAGUGUAUAAUUCAACUCACAAAUUGAAAUACAAAUAAUAUUAUAAAAGUGUUGGCUGUUUUCUUACCACUUUUCCCAACGCCUUCCAAUAUUUCCAAUGAAUCCUCGGAAUCCCUUCAUUUCAACUUCUACUCUAGUUUCUGACGAAUAUAAUUGUAUUACUAUACAGAGGAAUAUCAAAUAUGAGUUAGGAUCUAAGACACAAAUUUCUCUUUGGAAGAUAUGAAAGACAGUGUUUGGAAUUGAGUCUUUUAUAUAUCUGGCCAUAUAAUCACCUAUAUGCAACCCUCAUUAUAUUAACCUGUUUUUUCCCUCCAAAAGUUUGGAAGUUUUUCAUAUUGUUUAUUCGAAAUAUAGAAAUCAAGCCAUAUA
rnacentral:lncRNA from 1 species